UGUAUUUAUCCUACCUCCAGUAUCCGCUAUCAAUGCUCCUUAGUGGCUCCUGUCAUUUGAGCUGCAAGAUAACGCUCCUCCUCUAUUCUGUUUCCGGCAAAAAGGGCCAGCCCACCAUGCGGCAGCCAAUCAGAACUCGUAGAGAGCAAUCACUUGUGAUUGGCUCUUCUUAAUAGCAAUCAUAUAAUUCUCGUUUCUGAUUGGAUUACAUACAUGUGCCCACCUUCUGUUGGGAAACCAUUGGCUGAGACAUGCUGGGGUGGGAAAUCUGAGUGAAAAAUCCCAGAAAGAGGCAGAAUGGUGGAGAGCAGAUAUGAUACUGCAAUAAAGAUUUCACAAAGGCGAUGCCCUUAUUACCAUGGCUGCUGGGCUUAAGACUAAAGGAGAAGGAGAUAAAAAAGGUUUCUUCAGCUAAAGAACCACUGGAUCCAUUUACAAUGGAAAGGAAGAUUCUGUGAGAAAGAUGAUAGAAGCUGGACUCCAGAAUCCUUAAAAUGUCAGCAACAUAGACUAAUUAUCUUUCUGGUUCGUCCAUCUUCAUAUGGGUGCACAUGCAUAGUAGAGUGAAAAGCCGAACUUUAACAAAAAAGCCAGCUUUGACCAUUGACCGUGGGCCAUCGAAGAAAGAAGCAGAAGAAGGUAAUCGCUUUAGGAGGAUAUUUGAUCUAUCUGACUGCUGCUUUUUUACUAGCACUUACCAGUAUUGUAACCAGGUGCGAAUAUAUAUAGAGCAAUGUGUAGUAAUGUUUGGAGCAAAGUCACAAAUUGUAUUUUGCAGAUUUUCAUAUUUUUCAGGAUGAUUUUGCAGUCGAGAGUCUGUUACAUUGUUUUUUCACAAGAAUAAAGACCAAAAAGUUUA